UACAGAGGCCACAAGCGUUAGGCGGAAUCACUGGGCUUAAAGCGUGUGUAGGCGGGUUGGUAAGUAUCUUGUGAAAUCCCACGGCUUAACCGUGGAAUUGCUGGGUAUACUGCCGAUCUUGAGUCAUCUAGAGGUAACCGGAACAGAUGGUGGAGCGGUGAAAUGCAUAGAUAUCAUCUGGAACGCCAAUGGUGCAGACAGGUUACUGGGGAUGUACUGACGCUGAGGCACGAAAGCCAGGGGAGCGAACAGG
rnacentral:rRNA from 1 species